GACGAACCGUGCGAACGUUGUUCGGAAUCACUGGGCUUAAAGGGCGCGUAGGCGGGUCGGUAAGCCCGCGGUGAAAUCCCCCCGCUCAACGGGGGAACGGCCGCGGGGACUGUCGGCCUCGAGGGGGGUAGGGGCGAGCGGAACGCUGGGUGGAGCGGUGAAAUGCGUUGAUAUCCAGCGGAACUCCGGUGGCGAAGGCGGCUCGCUGGACCUUCACUGACGCUGAGGCGCGAAAGCCAGGGGAGCGAACGGG
rnacentral:rRNA from 1 species